CGGACAGCUGCACCAAGUUGACCCUCCCCAGGACAGCGCAGGCCGAGAUGAGCAGGGGCACGGUGCUCAUGUAUCCUGCCUGCACAUGAGCCAGGAGGCCAGAAGAGGGGACCAGAUCUCACUAUAGGUGGUUAUGAGCCACCACGUGGUUGCUGGGAAUUGAACUCAGGACCUCUGGAAGAACAACCAGCACUCUUAACCUCUGAGCCAUCUCCCCAGUGCCAAGAAUCAUCUUGUUAGAAGGGACCCUCCAAUGAGGACUUUUCUCCAACAAAUUGGCCUGCUUUCCUUUGUGGACUAAGGACAUCACUCUCUAAGACUGAGCAAGCGCAAACAGGGUCGUCAGCCUCUGGACUGUGCCAGCUGCCGAGGUACCCAGCCUCAAGGAUCAAGUAAAUCAACCAUGUUCUUUGCCUCUCGAUUGUGAGACACC